AGUGCUGUAGGCAAAUUGGUUACGCCACCUGUCUUUCGAAUAGGUGAUUGCGGGUUCGAACCCCGUUGGCACUA
rnacentral:tRNA from 1 species